rnacentral:rRNA from 1 species
CUAAAGCGUCCGUAGCCGGUUCUGUAGGUUCUUUGUUAAAUCAACCCGCUUAACAAUUGAAAUGCUGGAGACACCGCAAAACUUGGAGGCGGGAGAGGUGGACGGUACUCCACGGGUAGGGGUAAAAUCCUCUGAUCCUGAGAAGACCACCAGUGGCGAAGGCGGCCCACCAGAACGCGCUCGACGGUGAGGGACGAAAGCUGGGGGAGCGAACCGGAUUAGAUACCCGGGUAGUCCUAGCUGUAAACGAUGCAAGCUUGGUGUUGCAGGUGCUACGGGUUAAUGCAGUGCCGCAGGGAAGCCGUUAAGUCCGCCGCCUGGGGAGUACGGUCGCAAGGCUGAAACUUAAAGGAAUUGGCGG